CAUAGAGAUGCUUUUUAAAGCGGGACACAACAGAAGGUCACCUGGGGGAGAGUGAGGAGAGGAAGAAGGAACCAGGAAAAGUGAUCAAAGGGAGAGGAAAACCAGAUGUCACCAAAGCCAGAAGAAAGCAGAACAGAGGAGGUGACUGGCUGGGACUAAUACUGCAGAGUAGUUGAGGAAGGAGGGUCUCCAAAGUGCCUAAUAUCUGAGCUCCAGAAAACAGGAUCGGCCCCAGGAUUUGGGGGUGUGCAUCUGUGGUGCCCACUGGCAAGGGAGCCUCAUUCAAUUCCCAUCCUUCCUCCUUAGGAGACUUAGCUCUUAGGAUCCCAGGUGAGUGCCUUUUCUUCCUGUUUGCACUCUUAAAUGUACAAAUUACCUGAGGCCAGCUUCCUCCCAAUCCUCUUCCUCCCCAUCUAGCAGC